UAGAAUUAUAAGACAAACUAAGUCUUUAAACACUUAGAACAUUAUUUGUCUCUAGCAAAAAAUAAUUACGUAAGCAAAUUGAUCUUUAAGUAUGUACCAAAUACCAUCAAAUGCCAGUCAGCCCAAAAUACUGCAUUUUAACCUGCUUCAAAUG